CCCGCACAAGCGGUGGAGCAUGUGGUUAAUUCGACGCAACGCGAAGAACUUACCAGGGCUUGACAUCCCCUGACCGCGUAUGAAAGUACGUUUUCACCCUCGGGUGACAGGGAGACAGGUGGUGCAUGGUUGUCGUCAGCUCGUGUCGUGAGAUGUUGGGUUAAGUCCCGCAACGAGCGCAACCCCUACGUUUAGUUGCUAACGCGUGAAGGCGAGCACUCUAGACGAACUGCCGUUGACAAAACGGAGGAAGGUGGGAUGACGUCAAAUCAUCAUGCCCCUUAUGUUCUGGGCUACACACGUGCUACAAUGGCCGGUACAGACGGAGGCGAAGCCGCGAGGCGGAGCAAAUCCGAAAAAGCCGGUCUCAGUUCGGAUUGCAGGCUGCAAUUCGCCUGCAUGAAGUCGGAAUCGCUAGUAAUCGCAGGUCAGCAUACUGCGGUCGAAUACGUUCCCGGGCCUU
rnacentral:rRNA from 1 species